CAGUCGCCGCGGGAAUACGUAGGUGGCAAGCGUUGUCCGGAUUUAUUGGGCGUAAAGCGAGCGCAGGCGGUUUCUUAAGUCUGAUGUGAAAGCCCCCGGCUCAACCGGGGAGGGUCAUUGGAAACUGGGAAACUUGAGUGCAGAAGAGGAGAGUGGAAUUCCAUGUGUAGCGGUGAAAUGCGUAGAUAUAUGGAGGAACACCAGUGGCGAAGGCGGCUCUCUGGUCUGUAACUGACGCUGAGGCUCGAAAGCGUGGGGAGCAAACAGGAUUAGAUACCCGCGUAGUCCCUGUCUCUUAUAC
rnacentral:rRNA from 1 species